rnacentral:lncRNA from 1 species
CCCUCAGGAAACCUAGACGUCCCUCACAAUCAAUCGGAAGAGUGAAGAGCCUGCAUAACCCCCAUUAAAUUACGACUGAAGAGCCUGCAUAACCCCCAUUAAAUCGUCCUCUCAAAUCCCCCUGCAGGUCCAAAUCCCCCUUGCAGGUCCAGGUUUCCACGGCAAUCAACAACCCCUUCAAAGAUCCCAAUCAGAUUAUUGAAGUUGCAAGUUGCUAAAGGGCAUUCUGCACCCCAUGAACACCUAGAGAACAACCUGACACAAACACCUACAGAGUUGAACCAGAGGCCAGGGCCUUCAGGACGGCAGUGUAUUGGAGCUCCGAUUGAGCCGAUGGAGGACACGUCUAUUGUGAACGAUGAAGGGCUGCUCAUGAUGCUAUUCAAGAAUAGUUAUUUAAUUAAGCGAGGAAGAUGACUCUAUGGAAACAAUACCCAAAAUUCUCAAGUAUAAUUGUGAAAUUAAAGAGGCAAAUGGGAGCUUGAUGAGUGAUUUGCUGUAAAUGUUGAAGAAAGCAGCAAGUUUAAUGCUUUUAAGGUACUAAAAAUGGGCGAAAAACUUAAGUAUUAGUUGUGUUUUUAAUAGACACCUUGGGAUUUUGGGGAACUGUUUGGUUAUGUAGAUACAAAAGCCUAUUAUUAU